UUACGGUCACAUCACGUUGAAACACCAGUUCUCGUAAGAUUACCGAAGUUAAGCAACGUCAAGCCUGGUCAGUACCAAAUGGGAGACAGCUUGGGAAUAGUAGGUGA